rnacentral:rRNA from 1 species
GAUGAACGCUGGCGGCGUGCCUAACACAUGCAAGUCGAGCGAACCCUUCGGGGUGAGCGGCGGACGGGUGAGUAACGCGUGGGUAACCUGCCCUGUACACACGGAUAACAUACCGAAAGGUAUGCUAAUACGGGAUAACAUAUGAGAGUCGCAUGGCUUUUGUAUCAAAGCUCCGGCGGUACAGGAUGGACCCGCGUCUGAUUAGCUAGUUGGUAAGGUAACGGCUUACCAAGGCAACGAUCAGUAGCCGACCUGAGAGGGUGAUCGGCCACAUUGGAACUGAGACACGGUCCAAACUCCUACGGGAGGCAGCAGUGGGGAAUAUUGCACAAUGGGCGAAAGCCUGAUGCAGCAACGCCGCGUGAGCGAUGAAGGCCUUCGGGUCGUAAAGCUCUGUCCUCAAGGAAGAUAAUGACGGUACUUGAGGAGGAAGCCCCGGCUAACUACGUGCCAGCAGCCGCGGUAAUACGUAGGGGGCUAGCGUUAUCCGGAAUUACUGGGCGUAAAGGGUGCGUAGGCGGUCUUUCAAGCCAGAAGUGAAAGGCUACGGCUCAACCGUAGUAAGCUUUUGGAACUGUAGGACUUGAGUGCAGGAGAGGAGAGUGGAAUUCCUAGUGUAGCGGUGAAAUGCGUAGAUAUUAGGAGGAACACCAGUAGCGAAGGCGGCUCUCUGGACUGUAACUGACGCUGAGGCACGAAAGCGUGGGGAGCAACCAGGAUUAGAUACCCUGGUAGUCCACGCCGUAAACGAUGAGUACUAGGUGUCGGGGGUUACCCCCCUCGGUGCCGCAGCUAACACAUUAAGUACUCCGCCUGGGAAGUACGCUUGCAAGAGUGAAACUCAAAGGAAUUGACGGGGACCCGCACAAGUAGCGGAGCAUGUGGUUUAAUUCGAAGCAACGCGAAGAACCUUACCUAAGCUUGACAUCCCAUUGACCUCUCCCUAAUCGGAGAUUUCCCUUCGGGGACAAUGGUGACAGGUGGUGCAUGGUUGUCGUCAGCUCGUGUCGUGAGAUGUUGGGUUAAGUCCCGCAACGAGCGCAACCCUUGCCUUUAGUUGCCAGCAUUAAGUUGGGCACUCUAGAGGGACUGCCGAGGAUAACUCGGAGGAAGGUGGGGAUGACGUCAAAUCAUCAUGCCCCUUAUGCUUAGGGCUACACACGUGCUACAAUGGGUGGUACAGAGGGUUGCCAAGCCGUGAGGUGGAGCUAAUCCCUUAAAGCCAUUCUCAGUUCGGAUUGUAGGCUGAAACUCGCCUACAUGAAGCUGGAGUUACUAGUAAUCGCAGAUCAGAAUGCUGCGGUGAAUGCGUUCCCGGGUCU